rnacentral:rRNA from 1 species
GCUGAACAAUAAGCCCAACCAAAAUACAAACAUAUUAUAUAAAUAAAACAAAACAUUUGACAAAAACAGUAGAAGAGAUCGAACAUUAAAUUAGCGCAUAACAUCAGUACCGCAAGGGAAAUAUUAAUUUAUAAAGCAAAAGACAGCAAAGAUAAAAUCUUGUACCUUUUGCAUCAUGGUUUAGCAAGAACCCCCGGGACAAGAAGAAUCAAAGCCCCCCUGACCCGAAACCAGACGAGCUACUGCAAAGCAGCCUACUAGGGCGCACCCACUUCUGUAGCAAAAGACGAGGGACGACUACGCAGUAGAGGUGAAAUGCCUACCGAGCCUGGAGAUAGCUGGUUACCCAAAAAAGAAUUAAAGUUCUACUUUAGACCAGUUCAACACCACUUAGUCAUCUAAAGACAUUCAAUAGGGGUACAGCUCUAUUGAAACAGGAUACAACCUGAAAUUGAGAGCAAUACAAAAUUAAAUCUACCAGUAGGCCUUAAAGCAGCCACCAAAAAAAAUAUCGUUCAAGAAUUAAAAUUAAAAAUACCAAACUCUUUACACUACUCCAAUACACACUUAGGGUAAGCCUAUAUAAAUAGACGAACCUAUGCUAAAACUAAUAAUAAGAAUAAUUCUCUAAGCACACUUGUCUGCAAAUUCGCAAUCAACAGACCAUAAAAGGAAGAAAUUAAUCAAUUCACACUAAUUAAUCACACUGUGACUCCAACCCAGGGGUGCUAAAAAGAAAGAUAAAACAUUACAAAAGGAACUCGGCAAACAAUGACUCCAACUGUUUACCAAAAACAUAACCUUUAGCCAAACAAAUAUUAAAGGCAAGGCCUGCCCAGUGAGAACCUUCUUCAACGGCCGCGGUACCCUAACCGUGCAAAGGUAGCGUAAUCAUUUGUCUAUUAAUUGUAGACCAGUAUGAAAGGCUACAUGAGAGUCAGACUGUCUCUUGUAAUGAAUCUAUUAAACUGAUCUUCUAGUUCAAAAGCUAGCAUAUUCAUAUAAGACCAGAAGACCCUGUGAAGCUUUAACUAACCCCCUAAAACAACUAGGAGGUACUUUCAGUUGGGGCGACUAUGGAACAAAAUUAAACUUCCAAUAACACGACACAUUCGCAAUAAGGCACACAUGCCACUAUACGACCCAGUCUUACUGACUAACGAAACAAGUUACUCCAGGGAUAACAGCGCUAUCUUCUUCAAGAGCCCAUAUCAAAAAGAAGGUUUACGACCUCGAUGUUGGAUCAGGACACCCAAAUGGUGCAGCAGCUAUUAAAGGUUCGUUUGUUCAACGAUUAACAGUCCUACGCGAUCUGAGUUCAGACCGGAGCAAUCCAGGUCAGUUUCUAUCUAUAAAACGCCUACUUUAGUACGAAAGGACCAAGAAGGCUAGGCCCAUACAUCAAGCAUGCCUAAUAAAAAAAUAUUAAUAAACUCAAUAAUUACGUUAUCAAGCCAAGCCAAGAAAAGGCUAUGUUAAGGACCAAAUACAAAGACAAAAGCCACCUUAACC